AUUCCUCUUUCCGCCUGCCUCUCGCGUGCGCCCUCAGUACCUCUCUGAGCCUUCUCCUUCUUAUUUCUGUCCCGGUCUUUCCGAUUCUCCUCUACCGCUGCUCCUCUCCUCGUCCUCUUCGCCGGCCAGGAUAAGGCGUGUGUGGCGAGCUCGAGACUCUGGCAGGCUGAGCGGCGGAAAAUGAAGCACAAAGCAGCAAAAUGCAUCAGCAUGAAUAUUAGAGAUGUCGUUAAAACCCAGACUCGUUUUUCUCUCCUCUCUCCUCUCUCCCUUACUCACUCGCUCACUCACUCUCUCUCUCUUUGUAAGGAAGUAGGCCAGCAGAUGGUGCUAGCAGUUAUUACAUUAACUUUCACAACUUAACCCCCAAAGUACUGGUUUUCUCCCACGCCACAGAUUGUCAACAUCGUGGCUUCCUCUGUCUCCAUGCUGGCUACUGCCAGUGACGAGCCGGGUAUUUCACAGAGCUUUUUUCCAAAAGAAUGAGAAUAAAACACAGUUCAACUUAUUCCCAAAGGCAGAAAACACACAAACACUUUAAAAAAAAAAGUUGCAGUGGGUAGAGCUGGUGAGAAAUAAACACAGCAGAGUGUUCCAGGUCCCUCACCCUGUCGGGUACACACUGUCUGCACAGCAGAGAUCAGUCACUUCUAUGGGGUCAAGGUCGGGUCAUCCUGUCAUGACUCUUGGGAAAAAAAAAAAAAAAAAGAAACCAAGUGAGGAAACUGGGAAG